UUUCAUACAGGGAUAAGUGUCACAUAAAAGUUAGAUAAAGUAUGAAUGGUGACAAAGAUAAUUAAUCAGAUCAGCAUAACUUAGCCACAUAUAAAUAUGAUAAGCACCUCAACAGAUAUUGUAGCAAGUCAUUAGCAUGGAAUUAGGACGAACUACAAAAAUAUUCCUAAGUUAUUCUUAACUAAAAAGUCUAGCAUAUCAUAGUUAGUGCAAUUAUACUUGGCAAUCAUUGCGAGACAGGACUACGCCCAUACAUAGUGAUAUUAUCAAGGAAUAUGAGAAACAUAGCAAUCACUCCCCUGUAAUAAUGUUGCUCUGCCAGCCCAAUGCAUGAG
rnacentral:lncRNA from 1 species